GACAUGAACGCAUCUUAAGUUUGCGGAUAUCUGUGAAGCGGGCAGUGUGAAAUGCGUCUCAAAAUUAUACACAUUUGUAAAUCAUAUCGUACGUGCACUUGCAACCGUUUCGAGGUUUCUCUCCAUAUAUAAAUAGCGACUGCAAAUGUCAGUCUAAAUCGUCUUACCUGUAAAACCUGCCGUCAUUGCCGGAAGUCAGUGUUUGGGCACACACUUUAAUAACUGGGGGGUGGGGUUUUUUCCCCCAGUGUAACUGAAAAGUAAAGUUUUACUUUCCUGUGUGGGACAUCGUUUGCUGUCUAGUCGGCAACAGAGAAAACGCUGGUGCAUCUGACUGAUGAACUCCUCUCUGAGAAGAGCCUUCUCUUCUGGCGUCGGCUCCCAUUCCUUCUGCUGGUCUCUGUCAUCUACAGCAUGAAACACAGAGCAGAAUACGAAAAGAUGGAGGGAAAAGAAGAAGAAAAGAAAAAAGCCUAAAUUUUCUUCUUUGCUUAACUUCAGUGUGAAGUUUUUUCUUCAACCCGAACUCUGACUGACCGUAGUCGUCGUCCUCCUCUUCUUCCUCCAGUGCGCCGUCUUCCUUCUCCUGCUCCUCCUGCAGACGAUUUUGGAUGAGUCGUUCCUGGUAGGAGUUGAGGAGCAGAUUGGCGAGUCCUCCUGUACCUUGCCCCGGCUCCCCGGGUCCUCCCUGUGCACCAUCCAGCAUGGCCUCCUGGGAGCGCUGUAGCACCUGCAGCAUUCAUGAAGGUACUGGCCGAUAUACUGUUCGUACAGCAGCGGCUCCCUCAUUCGCAUCUGUUCUUCACUGAAGUACUGGCCGUCUAGAAGAGGAGGCAUGGCACAAAAAGAAACAAAAAAUAAAACCAGGCCGAUGGCGAGUUAGAGAAAAAAACAGAAGUUGGUGGGUUGGCAACAAGUAUCUCAGAGCCCUGAGGGCAGCAUAGCGCUGAUUCCUGACUCUGGUCCUGUCGGUGCGUCCUGCAGCCCGUCUCUGUAUCACCUUGCUGUAGUGCUGUGCUCGUGGGUCUGAGCUGAC